rnacentral:lncRNA from 1 species
GGCUCCGUCCCUCCCCCGUCCCCGCAGCCCCCGAAUCCCAGGGGAUGGGGGUCCCAGGGGAGGCUCUGCAGCUCCUUUUUCUCUCUUCUCCUCCUGUCCUGCCACUUGCAGCACUAACUCUCCCCUGGCUCCCUCAGGUCGUGCUUUUCCUGCCCUUUUUUUUCCCCAGUUUUCCGCGUCUGUGUCUCCGUGUCCUCUCACGACUUCUCUUUCUGUGUUUCAGACAGUUACAAACAAAAGCAUUCCUUGAAACCUCCCGACCGAGUCUGCGGGAAGCGCUACAAGAACCGCCCGGGGCUCAGCUACCACUACGCGCACUCGCACCUGGCCGAGGAGGAGGGCGACGACAAGGACGACUCGCAGCCCCCCACGCCCGUCUCCCAGCGCUCCGAGGAGCAGAAAUCCAAGAAGGGCCCGGACGGGCUGGCCCUGCCCAACAACUACUGCGACUUCUGCCUGGGAGACUCCAAGAUCAACAAGAAAACGGGGCAGCCCGAGGAGCUGGUGUCCUGCUCCGACUGCGGCCGCUCCGGUGGGAUGGGAUUGGGAUUGGGAUUGGGAAUGGGAAUGGAUUGGGAUUGGGAAUGGAUUGGGGUGGGAUUGGGAAUGGGAUUGGGAAUGGAUUGGGAUUGGGAAUGGAUUGGGAUUUCGAAUGGGACUGGGAAUCGGAUUGGGAUUGGGAAUGGGAUUGGGAAUGGGAUGGGAUUGGGCUGGGGAGGGUCUUUGGGAUCGUGGAUCCAGGGGUUUCCUCCUCCUGGAGGAGCUGGUGUCCUGCUCCGACUGCGGCCGCUCCGGUGGGAUGGGAUUGGGAUUGGGAUUGGGAAUGGGAAUGGAUUGGGAUUGGGAAUGGAUUGGGGUGGGAUUGGGAAUGGGAUUGGGAAUGGAUUGGGAUUGGGAAUGGAUUGGGAUGGGAUGGGAUUGGGAAUGGGAAUGGGAAUGGGAUUGGGAUUGGGGUGGGAUGGGAUUGGGAAUGGGAUGGGGAUUGGGAAUGGGAUGGGAUUGGGAUUGGGAUGGGAUUGAGAUUGGGGAGGGAAUGGGAUGGGAUUGUGGAGGGAUUGGGAUUGGGAUGGGAUUGGGAUUGGGGCUGGGAUUUGGAACGGGAUUGGGAUUGGGCUGGGAUUGGGAUUGGGCUGGGAUUGAGGAGGGAUUGGGGUGGGAUUGGUGAAGGAUUGGGGCUGAGAUUGGGGUGGGAUUUGGGCUGGGAUUGAGGAGGGAUUGGGAUGGGAUGGGGCUGGGAUUUGGGUUGGAAAGGACUUUUGGGAUUGUGGAUCCAGGGGUUUCGUCCUCCUGGAGGAGCUGGAUGGGGGCUGAGGUUGGGGAAUCAAGGAAUGGUCGGGAUGUCCCUGAUGGCUGUCCCUGCUGUGUCCCU